rnacentral:rRNA from 1 species
UACGGAGGGGGCUAGCGUUGUUCGGAAUUACUGGGCGUAAAGCGCACGUAGGUGGCUUUGUAAGUUAGAGGCGAAAGCCCGGGGCUCAACUCCGGAAUUGCCUUUAAGACUGCAUCGCUAGAACGUCGGAGAGGUAAGUGGAAUUCCGAGUGUAGAGGUGAAAUUCGUAGAUAUUCGGAAGAACACCAGUGGCGAAGGCGACUUACUGGACGACUGUUGACACUGAGGUGCGAAAGCGUGGGGAGCAAACAGG